GAUGAAGAACGUAGCGAAAUGCGAUAAGUAAUGUGAAUUGCAGAAUUCAGUGAAUCAUCGAAUCUUUGAACGCACAUUGCGCCCCUUGGUAUUCCGAGGGGCAUGCCUGUUCGAGCGUCAUUAUAACCCCUCAAGCUCAGCUUGGUGUUGGGGCCUGCUGCACUGGCAGCCCUUAAAAUCAGUGGCGGCGCCAUCUGGCUCUAAGCGUAGUAAUUCUUCUCGCUAUGGAGUCCUGGUGGAUGCUUGCCAUCAACCCCCAAUUUUUCUAUGGUUGACCUCGGAUCAGGUAGGGAUACCCGCUGAACUUAAGCAUAUCAAUGAGCGGAGGA
rnacentral:misc_RNA from 1 species